CCUACGGGAGGCUGCAGUGGGGAAUAUUGGACAAUGGGGGCAACCCUGAUCCAGCCAUGCCGCGUGUGUGAAGAAGGCCCUCGGGUUGUAAAGCACUUUCAGUGAGGAAGAACGCCUGGUGGUUAAUACCCAUCAGGAAAGACAUCACUCACAGAAGAAGCACCGGCUAACUCCGUGCCAGCAGCCGCGGUAAUACGGAGGGUGAGAGCGUUAAUCGGAAUUAUUGGGCGUAAAGCGCGCGUAGGUGGCUUGAUAAGCCGGUUGUGAAAGCCCCGGGCUCAACCUGGGAACGGCAUCCGGAACUGUCAAGCUAGAGUGCAGGAGAGGAAGGUAGAAUUCCCGGUGUAGCGGUGAAAUGCGUAGAGAUCGGGAGGAAUACCAGUGGCGAAGGCGGCCUUCUGGACUGACACUGACACUGAGGUGCGAAAGCGUGGGUAGCAAACAGGAUUAGAUACCCGUGUAGUC
rnacentral:rRNA from 1 species